rnacentral:rRNA from 1 species
GGCCAGACUCCUACGGGAGGCAGCAGUGGGGAAUAUUGGACAAUGGGGGGAACCCUGAUCCAGCGACGCCGCGUGAGUGAAGAAGUAUUUCGGUAUGUAAAGCUCUAUCAGCAGGGAAGAAAGAAAUGACGGUACCUGAGUAAGAAGCACCGGCUAAAUACGUGCCAGCAGCCGCGGUAAUACGUAUGGUGCAAGCGUUAUCCGGAUUUACUGGGUGUAAAGGGAGCGCAGGCGGCACGGCAAGCCUGAUGUGAAAGCCCGCGGCCCAACCGCGGGACUGCAUUGGGAACUACCGGGCUGGAGUGCCGGAGAGGUAGGCGGAAUUCCUGGUGUAGCGGUGAAAUGCGUAGAUAUUAGGAGGAACAUCAGUGGCGAAGGCGACUUUCUGGACUGUAACUGACGCUGAGGCACGAAAGUGUGGGGAGCAAACAGGAUUAGAUACCCGAGUA